rnacentral:lncRNA from 1 species
CUAUUGUACAGAUGGAACAAGAGUGGGAAAUAGUCCCAGGCAGGGAAUGGCAUCUCCAUUUCAUGAUGAACUUCCUGUCACAUUUUAUUUCCCAGGUAUUAAAUUCCCUAAGGAUGUUCCAGAGAAGUUUCCAUUAUUCUUUCAGCAGUUAGAGAACUGCUUCCAGCUGAGCACCAGCUUAUCCCACCAGCAGGAAAAAGUUGUGAACUCUUCACGGGCAAAGAUGGGAUCUGAUUGUCAUUCAAAACGCAGUGCCUAAUUCAAUGCCUGGCACAUUGUCCGGUGAAUGAACUUAUUAACCCACAACAAAAUGUAACUGCAGGAGAGACCAGAAUAUUCUUGGCCAUUGGCGUGGAUUUGGAAAUGAGAAAUGUGGAAAAGCAGCCCUGUGCAGGGACACACAUCUGGCAAGCAUGGCGGUGACGGCCUUCAGCUCAUCAGGGUGGAGAUCCUGGCACCCAGUCCCCUGUGUCUUCUGGGCAUAGUGAGCUUGGCUGUGGUGUCCUUGGUCCCGAAAGUGUUUUUGGGUAUCUGCCCUAAUUGCUCGACUUUUCUGGCUCACCUGGGAUUUCUCUGAGUAGCCAAGUAUCAUUUAAUAAAGUUAUUUUCUGCCUACGCUAGACAGGAUAACUUGUUUUUGCAACUAACAUUCUUAUUCAACAUUCACAGCGUUGCUCUAAUUUCAACAGCCAUUUCCAGAGAAAUGUUGCCUUGUAAUUGUUCUGAUGAAGGCUUCUGUACAGAAUAGUUAGAUACUUUAAGUAAUAUGGAAGUUAUUCCUUUAAUGAUCUUGCUCAAUUUCCCUAAUUUCUGUUGCUUCUCUCAUUUACUAACCCCUCCCACCUUUUUAAAAACCAUUUAAC